GACGAACGCUGGCGGCGUGCUUAACACAUGCAAGUCGAACGGAAAGGCCCUGCUUUUGUGGGGUGCUCGAGUGGCGAACGGGUGUGUAACACGUGAGUAACCUGGCCUUGACUGUGGGAUAACUUCAAGAAACUGGGGCUAAUACCGGAGAGGAGCUCCUGCUGCAUGGGGGGGGUUGGACAGUUUCGGCGGUUGGGGAUGGACUCGCGGCUUAUCAGCUUGUUGGUGGGGUAGUGGCUUACCAAGGCUUUGACGGGUAGCCGGCAUGAGAGGGUGACCGGCCUCAUUGGGACUGCGAUACGGCCCAGACUGCUACGGGAGGCAGCAGGGGGGAAUAUUGCACAAUGGGCGGAAGCCUGAUGCAGCAACGCCGCGUGCGGGAUGACGGCCUUCGGGUUGUAAACCGCUUUCGCUUGUGACGAAGCGUGAGUGACGGUAAUGGGUAAAGAAGCACCGGCUAACUACGUG
rnacentral:rRNA from 1 species